CUUUUUUUUUUUUUUUUUUUUUAAUUUUUUCCCACUGUACAGCAAGGGGAUCAAGUUAUCCUUACAUGUAUACAUUUUUUUCCCCACCCUUUGUUCUGCUGCAAUAUGAGUACCUAGACAUAGUUCUCAAAGUAGAUCUAUUCUAAGUUGUAUCUGAUAACCCCUCAGCAGUCUUUUUGGCUGUGUAUUGUCCUCGUGGUCUUCUAGCAUUGAAUGACCUGAGGGAAGGGGGUAACUGGUGGCUGCAGAUUUAUAUAAUCCCAAAUUUUUAAAUUUAAAGAAAAAUAAUUGAUUUCUCUUAAUAUAUCUGUACCAAUAUAUCAGUAGCAGGAAGGAGUUUGAUUGGGUCACCUCCUAUUGUCAAAGAACAUAAGACUAUGACUAAUCAAGGUUAUAGAACAUGGACCACCUCCUUUCUGGUGUAGCAAGACAAUGUUAAUAUUGUAAGAAGCGAGGACAAACAGUAUGCUGAGUAGCCAGACUCAAAAGUGUAUCUUCUAAUAACUUACAUUAUGAAUCUAAAUAAUUGUGGAAAAUUAUUGAGUAUUUAUUUAUAAAUUACUCUCCCUUUUGAAACGGUCUUUUCCAUAGAUAUGCAAAAAUAAGAUUUACUACUUAGACAUGUAUCUAGCAUCUCAAACUUAAUGAAUGUGUCCAAAAGUGAGAUUUCCAAAACCUGCCCUUCCCACAAUCUCCCUUUUAGCAGAUACCUACUACACUUUCCAGCUACUUAGACCAAAAAUGUUAAGGUCAUCCUUAACUCUUUUCCUUCUCAUGGCUAAUCCAUCAGCAACAUCUCUUGGCUCUAUGGGUAAAAUAUAGCCAGAAUCCAAUGACCUCUCAGUAUCUGCAUCAGCACAUCCUAAAUGAAGACAACAUUAUUUUAUUCUUGGAAUGGCCUUGUAACUGGUCUCUCUGCUCCCUGGUCUUGGCCCCAUGGUCCUCCACACCACAGCCAGAAUAUUCCUUUAACGUCUAACUUUAUGUUCUAUAACUCCUCUGCAUUUUAUUCAGAGUAAAUGCCAAAAUUAAUCAAUGACCUAACCAGCAACACCCCCCCUUCAAAAAAUUUUUUUGGCUGCACACACAGCAUAUGGAGAUUCCUGGGCCAGGGAAUGAAUCCAAACCACAGCUGUGGCAACACCAGAUCCUUAACCCACUGUGUCAGGCCAGGGAUAGAACCUGCACUGCUGCAGAGACAAUGCUGGAUCUUUAACCCACUUCACCACAGUGGGAACUCCUAACCAUGCCUUUUAGGAACUUGUUCCCAAGAACCUUUCAGGUUGCAUCUCCUAUUACACUCCUUAAGUUCCCUCUGCUCCAGUCCCAUGGGCCUCUUUGUUCUUGAACAUAAAACCCUUCCCCUUCCCCCCGACCUUGUGUUUACUGCAAUUUCUGACUGACAAAUUGCCCCCAAUGUCACCAUUCUUUGGCUAUCCUAUCUAAAAUUGCACCUCAUCAGUUUUUGACCUCUUCCUUAACCUAAUUUUUCUUCAUAACACUAACCAGCAUCUAACAUUCCAUGUCUUUUACUUAAUUACCUUGUCUCUUCCAUUUAGGUAUUGUAUCUAGAAUAGUGCCUACUACAGACUGGAUCCCCAGUAAAUAUCUGUAGAAUAAAUGGCUGAAUAAAUGGAUGAAAAAGCGGUUGAAAGAUGGUUAAAAUCAGAAAGGGUUAAGCCACUGGCAGAGUGAACCACAUGGUUCAGGCCUCAAAGCACAUAAGACAGUGAUGAAACUAUGAUAUAUGUUCUGUGUACAGUGAUAGACAUACACAUGUAUGGUUGUACUUUUCUUUCUUUUUCUUCACUAUUAUAGGUGUUUCUCAGUGAUGUCUGAUGGAGAACAUUUCUGCUUUUGUAUUUUUAAGAUUUAUUUACCACAGCAAAUAGGCACACAUAUCAUUUAUUAUUGGAGGAGGAUCUGAACAAAUAUGAAUGGAAGAAGUAACUGUGGCAAAUAUUUUUGUAGUUUAUGAAGAAUUAGGGUCAUGAUGUCAUUUGUAAAACUGAUCUAACUAGUCUAUUAUCUUCAUUUAAAUAGGCAGCAGGGUGAUAUCAUAACAAUAGUUGUUUCACUCCUGCAACCCUCAAUAACAUUUCCCAAUAUUAUUCAUUGGUAACAUGCCAAAAUAAUGACAAUUUUAAAGAUUACUGACAUGAUUUUUAGAAUGGAUCAGCUUUCUUAAUUUCCAUUUAUUAUUGUUCUUUUCUUCUGGUAGAUACUGUCCCCAUAGUUAAUAAAGAACUGACAAUAUUAUAUACCCACAAAAAUCACUAUAAUUUGUUACAGCUAAUUGACCGUUUCCAUGCACAGAUCAAUUUGGGGGCUUCAGAUGGCAUAUGUUGGUCUGAAGCAGCCUUUCCAAGGAUGUUGAAUUAUGAGCCUUGCAAAACUCUUUUGAUGCCUAAUUUCAUCCAGUCUCACAUUUGCCAAGUUAUAUUCUUUUCUUCUUCUAGGAAGUGAGUGGAUCAUUAGCUCUUGCCUCCCAACCUUGAACCUCCAUGCUUGUAAAAUCAUCCGCUGGUCUCUGUUUUUCCAAAGUUUUACUAUGAUGAACCUAACAUGAUUUUCUUUAUAUUUAUCCCAGACAGAUUUGUAAGGGCUUCCUGACUCUGAAGUCUGAUAGCUUUUGACAGUUGUGGAAAAUUCUCAGCCAGUGAAUAUUCAAAUAGGAUGACUGCCUGUUGUCUUUCUCUUUCUCUUCCAGGACUCCAGUGAUAAUUCUUACUGGAACACUUAUUAAGAUUCAUAUAUCUCUUACUCUCUUUUGCAUAUUUUCCAUCACUUUUGCUUUCUGAGUUAGCCUGAUAUUUUUCAAUAACUAGUUUAGAGUUCUUUUAGAGUUCACUAAUCCUCUCUCUUGCAACUGAAUAUUUCUUCUGAGAGUUUUUUUUUUAAUUUCUGUAAUUGUAUUUUUAGUUCUAGAGUUUCCAUUUGAAUUUUAAUUUCUGUCUGUCACUUAUUUUCUUAAACAUAUUGAUUUGAGUUUAUAUCUCGUAGCUUCAGUAACUAGGUUGUCUAAGUUCAUUAGGGCUGCUAGGAAAAAAAAAUACCAUGAGCUGGAUGGCUGAUAAAUAACAGAAAUUUAUUUUGCAUAGUUUUGGAGGCUGGAAAGACCAGGGUCAAGAUGGCAACAACAUAGUCAGGUAUUUGGUGAUGGCCUACACUCUCAAGGGCAUUGUAUCCUUACUUGGCUAAGGAGACAAGGGAGCUCUCUGGAGCCUCUUUUAUAAACACACUAAUUUCAUUCCUGGGUGCUCUGCCCUCAUGACCUAACCUCCAAGGUCCCACCCUUAAUGCCAUCACUUUAGCAGUUAGGUUUCAACAUAUAUAUUUGGGGAGUGCAUGUUAAGACCAUAGCAUGUUGCAUUUAUAGGACUGUUUUUUUUUUUUUUUCUUCCUUAUAGGUUCUGUUUCUUUACAUGCAUAGUAAGUUUUAAUAAAACAGCUAAUAUUACAUAGAAAAAAAUGUAUAGGCUCUGAAUGGCACUAUCUUUCUCCUGAGAGUACACCUCCCUCUGACAAAUAGAUAAAGCUGGGAGUUCUAUCUACCAAGACUGGGUAGAGUUUUCAUAAGACUCCAUCAAACUCCGGUUUUCCUCAACAGAGUUUGGUCCUCCUUUGGGAGCCUGAAGUCUUUAUUAUGACACCACCUUUUGGCAUCUACUUGAAAGUUCAACUUUUACUUUCUUAGAAUUCUGAGACAGUCAAAAACUUUGUUCUACAUUUCACACACUUUCUUCUUUACUUCUAAAUCUUUUGCUUUUGAAAAAUUUAAGAAAUUUGGCAAAUAUAUGAAAUGGAAAUUCACUCAUGUUGGGCUCACUUCUUUGUCCUUCCUUCUUCUCCAAAAUCUUGAAUUUCAAAUCUGCAAUGCUUGGAAGUCCUAAAUCCAAUUUUUGCCUUUCCAUCAUCCCCUUAAGAGUGUCAGAAGCUCUGUUGGCUUCCCUCCAUCCCUGCAAAGGCUGUCGGGUUCUCUAAUGCUUUUACUUCAUCUCAUACCUCAGCAUUGGCCUUCCUCCUGGGAUUCCACUCUCUCCAGUUUGGGUUGCCUCAUUAGCUCUCUGAUGUCUUCAAACAUCUUUUUUUGGGGGGGAGGGUAAUAAAUCUGGUUUCCAGAGUUGAAGAAGUACUCCAUUACAUUUAGAAAUAGAAUUUUGGGCAUGAUUCUUAUUGUAGUUUUUACCAUCUCAUCUUCUUGAUAAAUCAUUUUUUAAAAUUUUUUAAUAGUUAUUUCCCCAAUACAUUUUUUUUCUACUGUAUAGCAUGGUGAAUAAGAAUCAUGCCUAAAAAAAUAAAUAAUAAAUAAUUUUAAAAUUAUAAAAAAAAGAAAUAGAAUUGUGGCAUUUUCUCCUUUAAAUUUUUAUUUUAAAAUUUCAUCUAAUAUGGGUUUUUUUUAACAUAGUGCCAAUGUUUCCCUUCUAUUAGUCAAGCAGAUAUACUUAACAGAAAUAAACAGAAGCCACAAAUGCAAGGCAUAUAACUUUCCAUUUUCUAGUAAAAAUGUUAAAAGAACAGGAAACAGGUGAAAUUAAUUUUAUAAUAUAUUUUAUCAAACUCAAACUAAAUACUUUCAACAUGUCAGUAUGAAAGUUAUCAACGAUAUAUUUAUCAUCUUUUCUUUCAAGCUAUGUUUGUGAAAUACUAUGUGUCUUUCAGUUAGAUCUCAGUUUGUAUUAGACAUAUUUCAAGCACUCAGUUGCCAAAAAAAGCUAAGUGACUACUGCAUAUGACCAUGCAGAUCUAUAUAGACAAGAAUGAGUAGAUUUAAUCAAAAUGGGGGGGUUACUUUAAUUAUUAUUUUGAAAGAAAAUUAUUACUUUCAGUGAUAUCACAGCUAACUUUUGGGUUAUUUUUCUCUAAAUCUCUUAAAAGGCUGAAGAAAAGGGGAAGUAGAAUUUAUCAAAAACAUCAGUAUAGGAGUUCCCGUCGUGGCGCAGUGGUUAACGAAUCCGACUAGGAACCAUGAGGUUGUGGGUUCGGUCCCUGCCCUAGCUCAGUGGGUUGGGGAUCCAGCGUUGCCCAUAAAUUUUUAUUGAUAAAUAUUAAAAAAAUUUUUGGAAAACUCUUACCAAUCUUUAUUUUUAAUGCUUUGAUAUCCGCUGUCCAUUCCUGUAAGUUUUUGGACUUAGCAUGCUGUGUAGGUGGAAGUAGUAAGAUAGUACUGUCUAGACUCUGACAUGAAAUCACACUUCUGGGCCUGAAAUACAUUCCUAAUUCAUUCAGAGCUUCUGCCAUAUCUGUGACAGAUGGC
rnacentral:lncRNA from 1 species